rnacentral:tRNA from 1 species
AGAGGUAUGGCUUAAGUGGUAGAUCACCCAGCUUGUAAGUGUGAAGCCCUGAGUUCAAAUCCCAGUAUCACUA